rnacentral:rRNA from 1 species
GGACUACACGGGUUUCUAAUCCUGUUUGCUCCCCACGCUUUCGCGCCUCAGCGUCAAUACCGGUCCAGUUGGCCGCCUUCGCCACCGGUGUUCUUCCCAAUCUCUACGAAUUUCACCUCUACACUGGGAAUUCCACCAACCUCUCCCGGAUUCGAGCGCGCCAGUAUCAAAUGCAAUUCCCGGGUUAAGCCCAGGGCUUUCACAUCUGACUUAGCGCACCGCCUACGCGCCCUUUACGCCCAGUAAUUCCGAACAACGCUUGCCCCCUUCGUAUUACCGCGGCGGCUGGCAC